CCCAGUCUGGAGGCUUGGGGGUCAGGGACCCACUUGAGGAGGCAGUCUGUCCCAUAGCAGAGCUGGUGCGCUGUGCUGGAAGAAUCCCACUUGUCAGGAUCAGCUGCUCUCUUCAGAGCUGGCAGGCAGGAAAGUUUAAAUCCACUGAAGCUGCGCCCACAGCUGCUCCAUCCCCCAGGUGCUCUGUCGUAGGAAGAUGGGUUUUACCUGUAAGCCCCUGACUGGGGCCUUUCCCUCAGACAUGCCCUGUCCAGUGAGGAGGAAUCUAGAGAAGUAGUCUGGCCACAGCCGCUUUGCCAUACUGGGGUGAAUUCCGCCCAGUCCAGACCUCCCAGCCUCCUUAGAACUAUGUUUAUGGGUUCCCAUUUAGAGUAAGGCAUAAAACCACAGGGGCACAGGGAUCAAGAGGUUACUACGAAAAAUAAAGCUGUGCUCUGAAGCACCCCCUGCAGGUAGGAUCCUGUCGAGACAGCCAGAAGGAGGGGAGGCCACUGGUCAGCAUUCUGGGCUAUUUUUGGUUCCCUCCCACCUGCCCCUCCUUUUGGCCCAAGUUCUAAUCCCACUUGCUUUGUCACCCACUGCCUGUUUAUGGCAGCUUCCUCUCUGGUCUUCAGUGUCCUCACUGAUCCAAUGAAUACAGCAUCGCUCCUCUAAUCACAUAUAUUCAUGCAGCAGUGUAAAUGAUGUGAAAGGGCUUUGAAAAUCACAGUAAGUGAAAGACUGGGGCACUGACUUCUUCCUAUUUUCCCAAGUCCUGCUUCAGAACCACUGUCCUAGGCCCCCAGCCCUUAACACCAUCUUGGCCCUUUGAUCAAACUUUGCCUACUGAGGGGCAUAACUACACAGUAUCCCCAGGAAAGAGACGAAUAUUACAGCCCGUAUUUCUUCUCUUUGCUAUUUCCCAUGAUCACUCUUACAUCUAGAAACUGGGAUCCUUUCUCUGGUUGGUGGGACCCUCUCCGUAGACCAAAAGACAAGGGCACAUAGGCAUCAUAAUGGGCAUUCAGACAUGGUAUGAUGCAAGGGGUGGGCAUGUUAUAAAUGCUGGGGUAGGUCUGGGCACAUCCCACUUACUCAUUUGGACUCACUGGGAGAAGUGAUUCACUAGAAUUCUCAUUGGAAGAAAUGACAGGAAAGCUCCCUCCAAUAUCUCAAUUUCCACCCCACCCAGCACCUGGUUUUAUGAUUCCACACCCUCCUAAUCCAUGCUGCCCUCCUAAUACAUCCCACUCUCGUAAGCCAUCCCAGUCUCGUGCCCGCGAAUCCCUCCCUCUUCUUCAAUCUGCCAAGCCCCUUCCUCCUCUCCAGAAGUAUGUGGAUUUUUCAGUUUUCUGCCCUAACUGUUAUCCCACUGUGGCUCAUACCCGCCCUCCCCACUACCCUACCCUAAUACUCUACCUGCCCUGCUCUUCUGCUAUUCGUUACAAACCAUCCAUUUGUCAAUGCUCUGGGCCCAGAACUCUUUCUGGUAACUCCCUUAUCGAUCACCGUAGCCCUCCUCCUAGCCCUAGUGGUCAACGCUUGGGUCCCAGAACUCUUCCCUGUGAUUCCCGUAUCCGUUCCCCUAUUCCUCCCCCUAGCCCUCCUUGCCAACGCUCUGGUCCCAGAACUCUUUUCUGUGACUCUCCUGUCUGUCCCCCUACUCCUCCUCCUAGCCCUGCUUGCAAAUGCUGUCGUCCCAGAGCUGUUUCCUGGGACUCCUCUACCUAUGCCUCUACCCCUCCUCCUUAGCCCUACUUCUUUCUAGUAACCUGUACUCUAGUCCCCAGCCCCCAGCCCUGCCAUCCCCAACCAGACCUGACGGUUCACAAAUCUCAUCUUGGAGAUGGUUUCCCUGCUCCUGGGGCAGUUCUGGUACAGUUCAGGAUGGCCAGGACUAUGGAUUCCCAGCAGUCUGACCUGGUGGACAAAGGAAAUGCAAGACGAUGGCAAAACAGCAUUCAGCCUCAGUAAGCCACAAAAGCCCUUUUCCAUAGCCAGGUCCUGGUCACCCUACUGUCAUCUGUAUUUUGCCUUUAUUCCCAUCCUGUUAAUCCUCUUCAGAGAACAGAGAUACCUCUAACAAUUUUCUGUCUUUUAACAGUCUGCUCCUUUCCUCCCCUGCCUCAUCAGCCAGCCUGCAUGAGCCUCUACAUUUGUUCCUGGCUUCACCACGGAACUCAGUCUAUAGCCACAAAGCAAACCACAGGGCCAGUGACAGAGAAGGCAGAGGGGAGUGAGGAGUGGGAAGCACCUAACCUGUUCUCAAGGAGGGUAAGUCCUGCCCUGGGUUCAAGUGAGUGCAAGAACAAUGACUCCUGAGAGCUCACAGGGCACAAGUCCCCCACUAUCAGUGGAAACUCAGUUUGGGUUUUGUUUAUGUUUUUGCUGCCUGGCUUAUCCCAGAAUUUAUUUGUCUUCACCCUAGGAUUCUAGAACCAUGGUAGAGAUGUUUUGUCCUUGGGAAAUGUCUUCUGCAGUAGGGGGUGGGGCCCUCCACUGUGCUCUUAUCACAGCACUAAGGGCUGAGCCUCUUUCAUCAGCUGCUUCUACCUCACAAUGGGGAGGGGAGCAGAGUCUGCAAAGCAAGAGCAUGUCCGGAUCCCACUCAGAUGCCUGCAGCACAUGAACUCAUGUUGCUUAAAAAAGGCCCCUCUUCCAUUGGUUAUCUAGAUGCAACAUCUAGCUAGAAUCUCAAUCGAAAUCCCACUAUAUUUUUGAGAACUUGACAACUGAAAUUUAUAUGGAAAUGCAAAAAGCCAAGGUUAGCCAACAGUCUCCUAAAAAGACAUUUUUCCCUGCCAGAUAAUCAGAACUUAUCAUGAAAAUUAUAGUAAGAUAGGAGUGGUAAAAGCAUAGACAAGUAGACAAAUGGCACAGAAUUGGGACCAGAAAGAGACUCACACACGUGUACACUUCCUUUAAGACUCCUGCAGCAGACAGAACAGUGGGGACAGGAUUGUCUCUUCAAGCAGUUGGUGCUGGGUCAAUUGGAUACUCAAAAAAAAAAAAAAAUCAAGCGAGAUUCCCACUUCACACUACACUCAAAAAUCAGGUAGAACACAGGUCUACUAUGAUACAGUAAAAGCAAUAAAUAUUCUAUGACUGCUCUGCCCAUGCAUGGUUACUGAAUACUUGAGAUGCGCCAAUAAGCAUAAAACUUGCAUUGGAAUGUCAAACAGCAGGAAAAACCAAUGUUAGAUAUCUCGGUAACUUUUAAAUUGAAAGUUUGAAAUUAUAAUAAUUUGUAUAUACUGAGUUAAAUAAAACAUUAUUAAACUUAGCUUUAUUGGAUUCCCUUUUCUCUAUGUGGAUACUAGAUAAUAUUUAGUCUAGGUAAUAUGUGUCUCACUUCAUAAUUUUUAUUGGAUGGCAGUGAUCUAGAAGAUAACACAGAAAUAUAUCUUCAGGACAUCAAAUUAGGAAAAGAUGUCAUGAAUGGCAUUUACGAAAGAGUAACCAUAAAGGGAAAGGCUAAUACAUUAGACUGCAUUUAAAUUUUUGGUCUCAAAGAGACAGCAUUAAGAGACUAAAAAGGCAAGCCACAGAGACAGAAAAGAUGUUUGUAGCACACACAAUUCUCAAAAUAAUAAACUCCAACAAACUAAUAGAGAACAGACACCCAGUCAAUAGUAAAACACAUUCAACACUGUCUCCCAGACACCCAAACUCAUCCGGAAGCACCCUGUGUCCCAAAUGAAUGAAUGAACACAUGGUGGGGAAGAGCACAGGCUUUAAAGUCAGUGUUUAGGUACUUGCUAAAUCAAGGGGGUGGCUAAUUUCUCAACGCUAGGCACACUUUUGGUUCUUUUAAAGUAAACUGUAUUACAUUAAGCAUCUAGAAGAGUCAUUCAUAGGAACAAAAGGUAAAAUGGUUGCUGCCAGGGGCUGGAGAGACAGGGAAAUGGAGAGUUGUUCAACGUGUGUGAAAGAAAACGUUCUGGAGACUGGUUUCACACAACGUGAAUAUACUUAACACUAGUGUACUAUAUACUUAAGAAUGCCUAAGAGGGUACGUUUUAUGUGUAGUUUACACCAAACUUUUAAAAACUCUAAAGUCACUAUGUUACUUAGAAUGGGAGAGAGCUAUUCCACCUAUAUUAUCACACUGGUGAUAUCUGCCACAUUGGCCAGAAUCUUCUCUGAUAUAGAAAACCUCCAGUUUUCUGAGAUACACACAGAGUUUGGAUUCUGGACAUCUGCUUUUAAGUGGGGAGAGGUUUCUGACCCCUUACAAAAUCUCUUUUAGGGAAUGAUUGGCCAAGAUGAGCUUCAAUCUUAUGUCCACUACCUCCUGGCCUGCCACUUGGCUGUGAGUCCUUUCUGGGUGGUGUCCAGGGGCGGUUCCAGUGACCAGGCACGUGCUGAGAAGCACAGGCAGUUUUUCCAUCUGAAAAAUGGAAAUAACAACCCACCACUCCAUGAGUCUUUUAAGAAUUGAAGAUUUGCUUAAAGCAUGUAGCUCAGAGGAGGUAUACAAUAAAUAAUGUCUGUCAUAAUCAUUAUCCAAUGACUACGAGCGUUCACUUGUUCUUCUCGCCAGAUAAGUUAAUUUCAUCAAUGUAUUUCCUGACUGCCUACUCCCCAUGCCUCUGUUUAUUGCUGUCAUCUCACACCACACAGCAGCUCAGUGAUUGUGCUGGCCAAUCUCGAGUGUGCAUUCACAUCUGUGUCCUUAGCACUCCCUGGCACUAGCUCUACAGCUAUCUCUGCAGCCUAUAACUCAUCCAGAUAAAGACCAGCGGGAGUGCCUCUGGAUCUACCAGGUACACUCUGACAUCUACCUGAAUUCUCCCCUUUAGAAUUUUUCAUGAUUCUUACCUGGUAUAUUCCAACAGGCAUUUUCUCCAGAUAGUCGUUCUUCUUGCCUUUUAAAAUCAGCUUGGUUAGAACAGACAUCCAGGCAUUAUUAGGCCCAUGGGACCAAGGAGAUGACUGACACAAAAUUGCUGGUGAAGAUGGGACUAGACAGGAUUAGAAAACUUUGUCUAGCAGAAAGUGGCUAUUGUUUUAGUAGUUUUAAAACUUGCCAGACUCACAUGAACAGGGCAUUAGACUUAAAUUGUUUGAUCAUGAUACAAUGUGUAUGUGUAUCAAAACAUCAAACUGUACCACCUCAUCAAGUAUAUAGAAUUAUAAUGUUUUCAUUAAAUAAUUAAAAAGUUAGUAUCUUUCAAUUAGUUUGGAGAACUGAGUGACAUUAUAAAAAAUUAAAAAUUUGCAGGACAAAUUUUAACUUAACUGGCAUAUGGGAUUUAAAACUGAGUACCGUAACUUAUGAAGCAGGAAAAUAAAUUCUUCCUACAUGUUACUGUGAGGUAUCUUUUCCAGCCAUUAUGACUAUUCAAGAGCAGUGAAAUAAACUCAUUUUAGAGCCACACAUUCAAAGGCUUAUAAUAAUUAUUGAGCAAAGUUUUCAAACUUGAUAAACCAGACGUAAACACAGUUUUACAUGAAAAAGUAAAUUAUAUACUUUCCUGAUUCAAUUUAUUGAAAGGUAAAUUCACUGACAACAGGGUCUUUAAAAAGCAACAGCGUUCUGAGAGUGUUGACAUAGUGCUAUGUUUUGGACAUGAAGUGUAAUUCAAUAAAUGAUGCCAACAUGUUUAAAAGAAA